UCCCUCUCAGGGUCGCACCUGGAGAUUUUUCAGUCCUCUACCAGUCUUGACUAUGGGAGGGAGAGUCAAGCAAAGGCCUACCCAUUUCAUUCCUAGUUUGGGCAGUGGCUAGCAAGUGGAAGGCAAUCUGCUACAAGU